AUACGGCUAUGUCAGUUUGAAACACUGCUUCUCGUACUAUCAGCGAAGUUAAGCCAUUUCGAGCUUGGUCAGUAUUUAGAGAGGUGACCGCUUCGGAGUAACAGGUGCUGUAAUC